ACGGGAGGCAGCAGUGGGGAAUAUUGGACAAUGGGGGAAACCCUGAUCCAGCGACGCCGCGUGAGUGAAGAAGUAUUUCGGUAUGUAAAGCUCUAUCAGCAAGGAAGAAAAUGACGGUACUUGACUAAGGAGCCCCGGCUAACUACGUGCCAGCAGCCGCGGUAAUACGUAGGGGGCAAGCGUUAUCCGGAUUUACUGGGUGUAAAGGGAGCGUAGACGGCAUAGCAAGUCUGAAGUGAAAUGCAUGGGCUCAACCCAUGAACUGCUUUGGAAACUGUUAAGCUAGAGUGCAGGAGAGGUAAGUGGAAUUCCUAGUGUAGCGGUGAAAUGCGUAGAUAUUAGGAGGAACACCAGUGGCGAAGGCGGCUUACUGGACUGUAACUGACGUUGAGGCUCGAAAGCGUGGGGAGCAAACAGGAUUAGAUACCCUGGUA
rnacentral:rRNA from 1 species